rnacentral:lncRNA from 1 species
UAUUUGGAUUUGGAUGUGGGAAUAAAUUAUUCACGGAUAAGUUUAUUAGUAUAAGAAUUUUUUAAUAUAAUUGUAAGUGGGAAGUUUAACUUUUUUUAACUUCUUGAAAUUUCUUGUUAUUCAUAAUUUGGUAGGAUAAUAAGUUUAUCUUAUUCUGAAAAAAUAAUAUGAACGCUGAAUAUAAUAUUCCAUCUUAUUUGAUCAUACUUUUCAUUGUCCAAAUACACAAAUUUCUUAAGUAAAAUAAGUAGACACACCAAACAAAAUAUUCAUGGUUAAUGAAUUUAUACAUUUGGUUCAUACAGAUUUAGAAUGAUAAGAUAAAUCACCUUGCAGAAAAAAAAAUACUUAUUCUAUUAAAUUAUGAAUAACAAGAUAUUCAAAACAACGCAUAACAUUAAACUUUCUACUUAUUAUCAUAUCAAAAAAAUUUUCAUAUCGAAUUAAAUUAUUCUUGAAUAAUUUAUUUUGACAACUAAAUU